rnacentral:rRNA from 1 species
AUCUCUGUAGAGUCUGCAUAUCAAUAAGCGGAGGAAAAGAAACUAACUAGGAUUCCCUCAGUAACGGCGAGUGAAGCGGGAAGAGCUCAAAUUUGAAAUCUUCAAGGUUUUACCUUGACGAAUUGUAGUUUAAAGAAGUGUUUUCUGUUGGUGUUUUGGUAAAAGUUCUUUGGAAUAGGACAUCAUAGAGGGUGAGAAUCCCGUAUUUGACCAUUACUUCCAGCGUUGUGAUACACUUUCAAAGAGUCGGAUUGUUUGGGAAUGCAGUCCAAAAUGGGUGGUAAAUUUCAUCUAAAGCUAAAUAUUGGCGAGGAGACCGAUAGCGAACAAGUACCGUGAGGGAAAGAUGAAAAGAACUUUGAAAAGAGAGUUAAACAGUACGUGAAAUUGUCAAAAGGGAAGCGUUUGACACCAGUGUUGUUUUCUCGAAAAUCAAUUAAAAAGUAUGGGAUUUUGUAUUGUUAAGACCUUAUCAGCUUACGGUACUUUUUUCUUAUUCUUUUUAAUGCACUUUUCGCUUAACAAGUCAACAUCAAUUUCUUUUGUUGUAAAAGAGUCAUUGGAAGGUGGCUUUCACUUCGGUGAAAGUGUUUAUAGCCUUUGGCUUCUGCAAUCGGAGAGAUUGAGGUCUGCAGCGUAGAUCCCUUCGGGGUUAGAUACGUAGAUGCUAAGUUAUAGUUUUUCAUAGACAACUUGUUGACUAUGAUUAAUCAUGUAGCUUACUCGUUUGCGCUAUUUUACCUACGCUUAGGAUGUUGAUCUCUCACAGUCGAGC